AACUAGCCCUGAUUGCAACGGAAAUCCUUUUUUGAAAAAAAAGAUUGUAGUGGAAAGCAGGUUCCUGG
rnacentral:sRNA from 1 species